CCCACUCUAGUGGCACUUGUGCCGCAUCGGCGGCAGCGCCAACGCCUCGUCUCCAAGGCCCUGCAGAACUCGCUCUGGAUCGAAGACAUCCAUGGUGCCAUGAGCGCCGCUGCUACGAUUGAGUAUGUCGAGCUGUGGCGGCGCAUUCAAAACAUCCAGCCUUCAGCCGAACCCGACAGAAUCUAUUGGAAGUGGACCGACAACGGGAUCUACACGACAAGUUCUGCAUACAAGGCCUUGUUCCACGGAUCGACCGCCAGCCCCUUCUGGCGUCUAAUCUGGCGCUCAUGGGCGCCCGACGGCGCAAAGUUCUUUCUCUGGCUCGCCUCGAUGGAUCGCUGCAACAGAAGAGAAAACAUAACACACACUCUUAACUUAACAACCAUCACUCAAGACCACAGUAGGUCCAUCUCCUUUAUUUUUGCGAGGCAUAAUAUUUGUGUUGCCUCUUAUCCUCCUUCUCACCCUCGCCGGUGA
rnacentral:rRNA from 1 species